UAAUACAUAAGUAACCUGCCCUAGACAGGGGGAUAACUAUUGGAAACGAUAGCUAAGACCGCAUAGGUACGGGCACUGCAUGGUGACCGUAUUAAAAGUGCCUCAAAGCACUGGUAGAGGAUGGACUUAUGGCGCAUUAGCUGGUUGGCGGGGUAACGGCCCACCAAGGCGACGAUGCGUAGCCGACCUGAGAGGGUGACCGGCCACACUGGGACUGAGACACGGCCCAG
rnacentral:rRNA from 1 species